AAUAAAUUGAAAUUAAAAAUAGAUUUUGGCCUCAGAUUAACAUUACAUUCACUUAACAUCCUUUCUUUUACAUAUUUGGUUUCUCUCUCCUUUUUGUAUACCAGUAAAUGCUUUAGAGCAACAUUACCUUUAGUCUGUGGACAACUCCCUGUCCAAGUGCAGGACAGCCUAAAUCAGCUUUCUUUGGCUUCAAAACAACGACAUCAUGAGUGCCAAACUUGUGAGGCGGAAGGAUAUCCCCUUUGUUUGAUUGAAACUCCAGAAGCAUCUUGCCCAUUAGCCCUGUCUGGAUAUCGACACACUUCAAAUUAAGAAUAGUGGAACCCUUCUUC
rnacentral:misc_RNA from 1 species